UACAGAGGGUGCUAGCGUUGUUCGGAAUCAUUGGGCGUAAAGCGCGCGCAGGCGGUCUUUUAAGUCAGGGGUGAAAGCCCAGAGCUCAACUCUGGAAUUGCCUUUGAAACUAGAAGACUUGGGUACGGGAGAGGUGAGUGGAAUUCCGAGUGUAGAGGUGAAAUUCGUAGAUAUUCGCAAGAACACCAGUGGCGAAGGCGGACUCACUGGCCCGAUACUGACGCUGAGGCACGAAAGCGUGGGAGCAACAGGAUUAGAACCGGUGUA
rnacentral:rRNA from 1 species